rnacentral:rRNA from 1 species
UACGUAGGGGGCUAGCGUUGUCCGGAAUCAUUGGGCGUAAAGCGCGUGUAGGCGGUCCGGUAAGUCCGCUGUGAAAGUCGGGGGCUCAACCCUCGGAUGCCGGUGGAUACUGUCGGGCUUGAGUACGGAAGAGGCGAGUGGAAUUCCUGGUGUAGCGGUGAAAUGCGCAGAUAUCAGGAGGAACACCAAUUGCGAAGGCAGCUCGCUGGGACGUUACUGACGCUGAGACGCGAAAGCGUGGGGAGCAAACAGGAUUAAGAUAC